rnacentral:rRNA from 1 species
GACGAACGCUGGCGGCGUGCUUAACACAUGCAAGUCGAACGGAAAGGCCCUGCUUAUGUGGGGUGCUCGCGUGGUGAACGGGUGUGUAACACGUGAGUAUCCUGCCCUUGACUUUGGGAUAACUUCCGGCAACUGGGGCUAAUACCGGAUAGGAGCUCCUGCUGAAUGGUGGGGGCUGGACAGUUUCGGCGGUUGGGGCUGGACUCGCGGCUUAUCAGCUUGUUGGUGGGGUAGUGGCUUACCAAGGCUUUGACGUGUAGCCGGCCUGAUAGGGUGACCGGACAGAUUGGAACUGAGAUACGGCGCAGACUCCUCCGGGAGGCAGCGGUAGGGAAAAUUGCAGAAGGGGCGGAAGCCAGAUGCAGCAGCGCCGCGUGGGGGAUGACGGCCUUCGGGUGGUGAACCGCUUGCGCCUGUGGCGAAGCGUGAGUGACGGUAAUAGGUAAAGAAGCACCGGCUAACUACGUG